rnacentral:rRNA from 1 species
UGGGGAAUAUUGGGCAAUGGGCGCAAGCCUGACCCAGCAACGCCGCGUGAAGGAAGAAGGCUUUCGGUUGUAAACUUCUUUUCUCAGGGACGAAGCAAGUGACGGUACCUGAGGAAUAAGCCACGGCUAACUACGUGCC